AAGUAAAAAGCAAUAUUUGCAUUUAGUUUCGACCUAAAAUUAUGAUAAAUUUAUCUUUACUUA
rnacentral:tRNA from 1 species